GACGAACGCUGGCGGCGUGCUUAACACAUGCAAGUCGAACGGUAAGGCCCUUCGGGGUACACGAGUGGCGAACGGGUGAGUAACACGUGGGUGAUCUGCCCUGCACUUCGGGAUAAGCCUGGGAAACUGGGUCUAAUACCGGAUAGGACUCCUGGCUUCAUGGUUGGGGGUGUAAAGCUUUUGCGGUGUGGGAUGGGCCCGCGGCCUAUCAGCUUGUUGGUGGGGUAAUGGCCUACCAAGGCGACGACGGGUAGCCGGCCUGAGAGGGUGACCGGCCACACUGGGACUGAGAUACGGCCCAGACUCCUACGGGAGGCAGCAGUGGGGAAUAUUGCACAAUGGGCGCAAGCCUGAUGCAGCGACGCCGCGUGAGGGAUGACGGCCUCGGUUGUAAACCUCUUUCAAUAGGGACGAAGCGCAAGUGACGGUACCUAUAGAAGAAGGACCGGCCAACUACGUGCCAGCAG
rnacentral:rRNA from 1 species